GAUCCUGGCUCAGAUUGAACGCUGGCGGCAGGCUUAACACAUGCAAGUCGAGCGGUAGCACAGGGGAGCUUGCUCCCCGGGUGACGGGCGGCGGACGGGUGAGUAAUGUCUGGGAAACUGCCUGAUGGAGGGGGAUAACUACUGGAAACGGUAGCUAAUACCGCAUAACGUCGCAAGACCAAAGAGGGGGGACCUUCGGGCCUCUUGCCAUCAGAUGUGCCCAGAUGGGAUUAGCUAGUAGGUGGGGUAAUGG
rnacentral:rRNA from 1 species